UAAACCCAAAUGGCCCAAUUACAGUGGCCCGAUAUCCAACCCAUUACCUAAUUACAUUACCCAACACCAGGCCCAAAUUACAAACCCAUUACAGCUCAAAUCCCCAACCCGAUUGCAGAAACCCUAGCAUCUUGCAGCAAGCAGUCGCCGCCGCUCUCCAUGCGCACAGCAGCCACUGCCCUCACACACGAGCCUCACG
rnacentral:lncRNA from 1 species